rnacentral:rRNA from 1 species
CUGGCUCAGGAUGAACGCUAGCUACAGGCUUAACACAUGCAAGUCGAGGGGCAGCAUGGAGUUGCUUGCAAACUCUGAUGGCGACCGGCGCACGGGUGAGUAACGCGUAUCCAACCUUCCCUAUAGUAGAGGAUAGCCCGGCGAAAGUCGGAUUAAUACUCUAUGUUUUCCGUUGCAGACAUCUAAGAUGGAACAAAGGCUUGCCGCUAUAGGAUGGGGAUGCGUCUGAUUAGGUAGUCGGCGGGGUAACGGCCCACCGAGCCAUCGAUCAGUAGGGGUUCUGAGAGGAAGGUCCCCCACAUUGGAACUGAGACACGGUCCAAGCUCCUACGGGAGGCAGCAGUGAGGAAUAUUGGUCAAUGGGCGAGAGCCUGAACCAGCCAAGUAGCGUGCAGGAUGACGGCCCUAUGGGUUGUAAACUGCUUUUAUGCGGGGAUAAAGUUCACUACGUGUAGUGUUUUGUAGGUACCGCAUGAAUAAGGACCGGCUAAUUCCGUGCCAGCAGCAGC